CCUUCCUAUCCGUUCCCUUCCCAUCCCUUCCUUUCCCGUCCUUUCCCUUCCCGCGCCGACUCUCUCAACGAACCUUUAGCUCCUCGAAAAAACAGAUACGAGUCGUGUGAGAUGUCCGUCGGUAGCUGCCGGCACUACGGAACCGUCGAGUCGCGGAGAAAUCGGCCGAGGAAGUCUUCGUGAUUCGGCGUAGAAAGCGAACAACGAAUCCGACCGUGUUGCGACACACCGAGGAAGAACGAGAAACAGGCAAGCAGGCAAGCGAGUUUAGCAGGCAAACGAAUAACCGGACAGCCAAAACAGGUGGAAAGAAAAAAGUGAGGUGAUAGAAAAGCAUGGCGGACGAAGAGCUUUUGUGCGUGUUGUGUUUAGUACUGUCUGUACUACAGGUAUUUCAGUAACUUCGUAAGCGUGAAAAGUGCGAGCAGUUUCACGAGGAAAAUGAGGACUCCCGAAGCAAAUUGUUGGGAAAGAAAAGAAAAAUCCUGUUGAAAAGUUUACAGCUCAAAAAGAAACGGAAUGUACAUAAUUCUGUCGGAGUGAAUUACAAAAUAGACUGUUAAGAAGUACUAGACACUUAAAUUAAUAACUAUGCAAAGUUGUAUAAAAAUAGCGUUAAUUAAAAGUUAGUUGAGACG